UACGGGGGGGCAAGCGUUGUUCGGAAUUACUGGCGUAAAGGGCUCGUAGGCGGCCAACUAAGUCGGACGUGAAAUCCCUCGGCUUAACCGGGGAACUGCGUCCGAUACUGGAUGGCUUGAGUUUGGGAGAGGGAUGCGGAAUUCCAGGUGUAGCGGUGAAAUGCGUAGAUAUCUGGAGGAACACCGGUGGCGAAGGCGGCAUCCUGGACCAACACUGACGCUGAUGAGCGAAAGCCAGGGGAGCAAACGGG
rnacentral:rRNA from 1 species